AACGCGAAGAACCUUACCACCUUUUGACAUGCCCGGACCACCAGAGAGAUCUGGCUUUCCCUUCGGGGACUGGGACACAGGUGCUGCAUGGCUGUCGUCAGCUCGUGUCGUGAGAUGUUGGGUUAAGUCCCGCAACGAGCGCAACCCUCGCGAUUAGUUGCCAUCAGGUUUGGCUGGGCACUCUAAUCGUACUGCCGGAGUUAAUCCGGAGGAAGGCGGGGAUGACGUCAAGUCCUCAUGGCCCUUACAAGGUGGGCUACACACGUGCUACAAUGGCGACUACAGAGGGCUGCAAUCCCGCGAGGGGGAGCCAAUCCCUAAAAGUCGUCUCAGUUCGGAUUGUUCUCUGCAACUCGAGAGCAUGAAGUUGGAAUCGCUAGUAAUCGCGGAUCAGCAUGCCGCGGUGAAAUACGUUCCCCGGCCCUUGUACACANCCG
rnacentral:rRNA from 1 species